AGCUGCCUGAUUAAGAGUUACGU
rnacentral:miRNA from 1 species